AGCCCUAUGGUGUAUUCAUGUAAGAUUGCAAAUCUUGAGAGGCAAACUAACCUUUGCUGGGGCUU
rnacentral:tRNA from 1 species